rnacentral:lncRNA from 1 species
UUUGACAUCUCUGCAGAUCUGUAUUCCGAAAGUACUCAGAUAUCCACGAAGUCCUCCUCAUCUCACACCAUCGUUUCUCUCACUGGGCACAAUCCAGCUUUAAAGAAUUCAGCACUUACUGGUCUUCAGAGGACUGUCAGCAAUGACAGCAACCAGGGAUGCUGACAUGUCUUGUUGUUUACAAAGGAUGAGCACAAGGCCUUUUGGAUAACCUGAUAAGCCCUGCAACUCCUCUCUCCCUGUUCCUCACCUCUCUGGACCAGCUGCCUUUGUGUGGUG